UACGGAGGGGGCUAGCGUUGUUCGGAAUUACUGGGCGUAAAGCGCGCGUAGGCGGUUUGUUAAGUCGGAUGUGAAAUCCCCGGGCUCAACCUGGGCACUGCAUCCGAUACUGGCUGACUAGAGUGUGGGAGAGGAAGGUAGAAUUCCAGGUGUAGCGGUGAAAUGCGUAGAGAUCUGGAGGAAUACCGAUGGCGAAGGCAGCCUUCUGGCCUAACACUGACGCUGAGGUGCGAAAGCAUGGGGAGCAAACAGG
rnacentral:rRNA from 1 species